rnacentral:rRNA from 1 species
GACGAACGCUGGCGGCGUGCUUAACACAUGCAAGUCGAACGGAAAGGCCCUGCUUUUGUGGGGUGCUCGAGUGGCGAACGGGUGAGUAACACGUGAGUAACCUGCCCUUGACUUUGGGAUAACUUCAGGAAACUGGGGCUAAUACCGGAUAGGAGCUCCUGCUGCAUGGUGGGGGUUGGAAAGUUUCGGCGGUUGGGGAUGGACUCGCGGCUUAUCAGCUUGUUGGUGGGGUAGUGGCUUACCAAGGCUUUGACGGGUAGCCGGCCUGAGAGGGUGACCGGCCACAUUGGGACUGAGAUACGGCCCAGACUCCUACGGGAGGCAGCAGUGGGGAAUAUUGCACAAUGGGCGGAAGCCUGAUGCAGCAACGCCGCGUGCGGGAUGACGGCCUUCGGGUUGUAAACCGCUUUCGCCUGUGACGAAGCGUGAGUGACGGUAAUGGGUAAAGAAGCACCGGCUAACUACGUGCCAGCAGCCGCGGUGAUACGUAGGGUGCGAGCGUUGUCCGGAUUUAUUGGGCGUAAAGGGCUCGUAGGUGGUUGAUCGCGUCGGAAGUGUAAUCUUGGGGCUUAACCCUGAGCGUGCUUUCGAUACGGGUUGACUUGAGGAAGGUAGGGGAGAAUGGAAUUCCUGGUGGAGCGGUGGAAUGCGCAGAUAUCAGGAGGAACACCAGUGGCGAAGGCGGUUCUCUGGGCCUUUCCUGACGCUGAGGAGCGAAAGCGUGGGGAGCGAACAGGCUUAGAUACCCUGGUAGUCCACGCUGUAAACGGUGGGUACUAGGUGUGGGGUCCAUUCCACGGGUUCCGUGCCGUAGCUAACGCUUUAAGUACCCCGCCUGGGGAGUACGGCCGCAAGGCUAAAACUCAAAGGAAUUGACGGGGCCCCGCACAAGCGGCGGAGCAUGCGGAUUAAUUCGAUGCAACGCGUAGAACCUUACCUGGGUUUGACAUGGAUCGGGAGUGCUCAGAGAUGGGUGUGCCUCUUUUGGGGUCGGUUCACAGGUGGUGCAUGGCUGUCGUCAGCUCGUGUCGUGAGAUGUUGGGUUAAGUCCCGCAACGAGCGCAACCCUUGUUCACUGUUGCCAGCACGUUAUGGUGGGGACUCAGUGGAGACCGCCGGGGUCAACUCGAAGGAAGGUGGGGAUGACGUCAAGUCAUCAUGCCCCUUAUGUCCAGGGCUUCACGCAUGCUACAAUGGCUGGUACAGAGAGUGGCGAGCCUGUGAGGGUGAGCGAAUCUCGGAAAGCCGGUCUCAGUUCGGAUUGGGGUCUGCAACUCGACCUCAUGAAGUCGGAGUCGCUAGUAAUCGCAGAUCAGCAACGCUGCGGUGAAUACGUUCCCGGGGCUUGUACACACCGCCCGUCAAGUCAUGAAAGCUGGUAACACCCGAAGCCGGUGGCCUAACCGUUGUGGGGGAGCCGUCGAAGGUGGGACUGGUGAUUAGGACUAA